rnacentral:rRNA from 1 species
UACGAAGGGGGCUAGCGUUGUUCGGAAUCACUGGGCGUAAAGCGCACGUAGGCGGAUCUUUUAAGUCAGGGGUGAAAUCCCGAGGCUCAACCUCGGAACUGCCUUUGAUACUGGGGAUCUCGAGUCCGGGAGAGGUGAGUGGAACUGCGAGUGUAGAGGUGAAAUUCGUAGAUAUUCGCAAGAACACCAGUGGCGAAGGCGGCUCACUGGCCCGGAACUGACGCUGAGGUGCGAA